GAGGGAGUUCCAAUGAAGGUAACCGGAUGCUUCCUGUCUGCAAGAGAAGACCAGAGACCACUGUGUGUUCCAUGCUCCUGAGAAGUGGAUGGUAAGCCAAGUCUCUACAGCUAGACGAUGAAGUAUGUUGCAGUAGGUGAAUCUACAAGUGGACACGUGAACACUUCACCACACCUUUCUACCUCCCUAGAGCAUCUUCAUUCACAUUCCCAACUCUUAAGAACAUGCACUUGUGUGUGUGUGUGUGUGUGUGUGUACAGGCUACUAGCUUGAGGUUCCUGCCUCAAGGGAAGGGCACAUUCCUGUUACUCAACACUACGGGAAUCCCAGUCCUGAAGUGACUUUAAGAUCUCACAGCUGCCAACAGGCCUCUGAGGCCUUGGGGUGGAGGGAAACCAAGAGCUCUAACACAGUGUGACCAGGCCUUUCCACAUGAAGCUGGACGGCCUAUGCCACACACAGGCAUAUUGAGGGCUCUGAGCGGUGGCCUGGGGAGUGGCCACCAGCAUCCUACAGAGCCCUGCAGUGGUUAUGUUUGAGUCUGGGAAAUCUGCUGGGGACAAAUAACCCAUGCACACAGGAGCACACAAGAGAAGUGGAGUGGGAGGAUCCAGGUCCUAGUCCAGCUCUGCCCCAGCAGGGCCUCCAAGGCAUGCACAGGUCCAGUGAGCUCCUGCAGGGCAGGCAGAGCAGGAUGGCUGCUGAUGAGAGAACAAGGAGAGGCCCUGUGUGCCUCAGCUGCAUGCUGC
ensembl:antisense Gm14508 predicted gene 14508